AAUAAUUACUAAGUGUAAAAGGAGGUAGUAAUACGUAUACAACCAGGAGGUUGGCUUAGAAGCAGCCAUCCUUUAAAAAGUGCGUAAUAGCUUACUGGUCAAGUGUUAUUGCGCCAAUAAUGUAAGGGACUAAGUAAUUUGCCGAAGCUGUGAGUUUUACGGUAGGAUAGCGUUCUUUUUGGGUUGAAGUAAAAGUGGGAGCUUUUAUGGACUGGAGAGAAGUGAGAAUGUCGGCUUAAGUAACGAAAAUAUUGGUGGGAAUCCAAUGCUCCGAAAACCUAAGGUUUCCUUUGCUAGGUUCGUCCACGAAGGGUUAGUCAGGGCCUAAGAUAAUGUCUAAAGACGUAAUUAAUGGAUAACAGAUUAAUAUUUCUGUACUACAUUAACUCUAACCGAGGGUGACAAAGAAGGCUAGAUCAGCCAAAUGUUGGAUUUUGGUUCAAGCUUUUAAGGUUAUGAGAGAUAGCCAUCAUAUUUCUAUCUUGAGCUGAAAAGUUAUGAAUAAGUGUUACGACACUGAAUUGAUUCAUGUCAUGCUUUCUAGAAAAUCCGUAGCGGUGGUAGGUUAAUGACCUGUACCGUAAACUGACACAGGUGGGUUGGUAGAAAAUACUAAGGAGCGCGAGCUAACUCUUCUUAAGGAACUCGGCAAAAUGGCCUUGUAACUUCGGGAGAAAAGGUGCCUUUAAAAAAGGUUGCAGUGAUUUGACCCAAGCGACUGCUUAUCAAAAGCACAGGUCUCCGCUAAGUUGUAAAACGACGUAUGGAGGCUGACGCCUGCCCAGUGCUGUAAGGUUUAAGAAGUUGGUUAGUGUAAACAAAGCUGAUGACGCAAGCCCCAGUGAACGGCAGCCCUAACUAUGAGGGUUAUAANGUAGCGAAAUUCCUUGUCGGGUAAGUUCCGACCUGCACGAAUGGCGUAACGAUUUGGGUGCUGUCUCAAGAAGAGGCUCGGUGAAAUAGAAAUAACCGUGAAGAUGCGGUUGACUUGCAUUUGGACAGAAAGACCCUAUGGAGCUUUACUGCAACUUGAUAUUGUUUUUUUACUUUCCUUGCGCAGUAUAGGUGGGAGGCUACGAUAUUUUUCUUUCGGGAAAAAUGAGCCGUCGUUGAGAUACCACUCUAGGCAGGUGAAAAAUCUAAUGGUUUUUCUUAUUCAAGUUCGAUGAAAACGGAAUUCUAGACAUUAUUAGGCGGACAGUUUUACUGGGGCGGUAGACUCCUAAAGAGUAACGGAGUUGUGCAAAGGUUUCUUCAAACUAGACGGAAAUUUGUUGUAGAGCAUAAAGGUAUAAGGAAGCUUGACUGUUAGACAUACAAGUCAAACAGGGACUAAAGUCGGCCUUAGUGAUCCGACACUUCUUUGUGUGAAGGUUGUCGCUUAACGGAUAAAAGUUACNCUAGGGAUAACAGGCUGAUCUCCUCCAAGAGUUCAUAUCGACGAGGAGGUUUGGCACCUCGAUGUCGGCUCAUCGCAACCUGCUGCAGUAGUAUGUGGCAAGGGUCCGGCUGUUCGCCGGUUAAAGCGGUACGUGAGCUGGGUUCAGAACGUCGUGAGACAGUUCGGUCCAUAUCCGAUGCAAGCGCUGGAGUAUUGAAAGGAUCUUUUUCUAGUACGAGAGGACCGAAGAAGACACAUCUCUGGUGUACCAGUUCUUAUGCCAAUAGGAUAUGCUGGGUAGUCAAAUGUG
rnacentral:rRNA from 1 species